UACGUAGGGGGCAAGCGUUGUCCGGAUUUAUUGGGCGUAAAGAGCGUGUAGGCGGCCAGGUAGGUCUGCUGUGAAAACUCGAGGCUUAACCUCGAGCUGUCGGCGGAAACUGUCUGGCUAGAGUCCGGAAGAGGAGAAUGGAAUUCCUGGUGUAGCGGUGAAAUGCGCAGAUAUCAGGAAGAACACCCGUGGCGAAGGCGGUUCUCUGGGACGGUACUGACGCUCAGGCGCGACAGCGUGGGGAUCAAACAGG
rnacentral:rRNA from 1 species